rnacentral:rRNA from 1 species
UACGUAGGGGCCGAGCGUUGUCCGGAGUUAUUGGGCGUAAAGCGCGUGCAGGCGGCUUCGCGCGCCCGACGUGAAAGCCCCCGGCUUAACCGGGGAGAGUCGUUGGGGACGGCGGGGCUUGAGGGCGGGAGAGGUCGGUGGAAUUCCCGGUGUAGUGGUGAAAUGCGUAGAGAUCGGGAGGAACACCUGUGGCGAAGGCGGCCGACUGGGCCGACCCUGACGCUGAGGCGCGAAGGCGUGGGGAGCGAACGGG